rnacentral:lncRNA from 1 species
UUCUCCUCGCUCGUGCGGGUCCAGGUUAGUCUCUCCGACCCCGCCGUCUGCUCGUCCCCGUCAAAUCGGUGCAUAUCUGUAUACUUUGGGCUUGUAAACAAAGAAUAAUCAGUAUGCAGGGUUUAAUAUAAUUAGAAUUAGAACUAUUUGGGACAUAUAGUUGGAAAAUAUAAUAUGCCUCUCUCACCUCGGAAUCUGUGGACCGCGUGCUCUUCUUUUUCUCCACUUCUCUAUUCCAUUUAAUUCUGCAAGCUUGUCCCCUACAGUUUCUGCCCCUUUGGUGUCGAAUGUUUGUGCUAAUUCAUUGUCUUGAGCUGGCUGCAUUUCUUCACUUGUUACCUUGACGGUUAAUCCCUGAUAGCAACAUUACAAAGAAUAAUCCCUAUGUAGUAUUAUAAUAUAAUGAGAAUUAGAACUAUUUGGGAUAGUUGAAACGGAAGCAUGCCUUUGCCACUUCGCAAUCUGUGGCCUCUGUGAUCUUCUUUUUCUCUACUUCAUUGUCGUCGUCUAUUCCAUUUGAUUCUUCCUCGCUUCCUACCUGAAACACACAUAAUAUAAUAUUACCCGGUACUUACUGGUUCUUCAUCAAUUAGUAACUGAAACACACAAUAAUAUAAUAUUCUCCAGUACUUAUAAAAGAGCAAAUAUUAUUAUGAAGAUGAGUAAAGAAUCCUAGGUAUGAUAUUAUUAUACUAUAGAUUACAUAUUGUUUUGUCCCCCCUGAAUAAGAAGAAUAAUAACGGCAUGCGAAAUUAAAAACUGCCUUCGUCAGCUUGGGGGUUUGUAUGCUUGUGUUAGGAUAUCACCUCAUCAAUCUGCAUAUUUUCUGUAUCUUCCAUGAUGCCUUGUUCUUCUAUUGCCUUUGUUGAUUCGGUGUUCAUAUCCUCAUCUUUGGUUAUCAUGCAUUCAAUCUGCAUAUUUUGUGUAUGCUCGUCCUUCUCUCCUUUGUCGAUGUUUUCCUGAAAAUAAAAGCAUAUAUUUACUAUCACGCGGUACACAUUCAGCCCCUAAGUUUUGUUAGCUUGAAAAUCGAUCUUAUAUGUUGGGACGUAGGGAGUACAUCACAACUGUAUGCACAUAUUUGUGCAUACCGCUCCCUUUCCAUCCGAUUCUUAAUCUCAUUACGGCCUGAGUAGAUGAAGAAUAGAUCAGUAUACAGCAUUAUAACUGGGCCAUGUAGGAUGAAGUUCAUCUUCAUUACCUUGUGAUACAACCAGCUGUGUUUGUGCCCCACUGUUCUCGGCAGAGGCAAUUUUCUUCUGUUUGUAAACCUCACAUCGUCUCUUAUUAAUCUCAUCCUUAUUUUGUGCAUACCGCUCCCUAUCCCUCUGCCUUUUUACUUCUGUAGGGUCUGCAAUCAAUGGCACAAUUCAGCAGUUGAGCUACAAAAACUGAAAUUGGGUGCUUGUGUAAUGCUCAUCACCCAAGGAUUGAGUGUUGCUUAUAUCCUGGAACGGGGUUCGCGUCCCAUUGGGAUUGGUCGGGGCCAUACGAAGUCCUUGAACCAUGUGAAUGUCAAGAAUGUUAUCACACAAUUGUAACGGAAGGAAUAGUAUUAGCACAACGCUAACAGAGUGCAGUUUUAUGUUCAACUCCAUCCCACUGUUUACCAUUAAAGCUUUCUUAUGGUGCCUCUGCAACCAAUUGAAUUCAUUUUGCACUAAUAUACCUGCAAUAAUGCAUCAGGAUGUAGUAGGUUGUAGUACUGUAUAUCUCAGGCAGACUUUAUUUGUGUUCGUAUGAAUUGGAACUGAGCAUUGAACGAUCCAUAUGCAGCUUGAUGAGGCAUUUAGGUGAAGUCAGUCCAACGCUCCAAUGCUCAUCAGGGAUCAUGUUAGCAUAUGGUCAUGCCAUAAGUCACCACUUCAUACAUUUUCCUUAAGUCACCAGUUCCUACAUUUUCCUUCUAGAAUUGCUCUUGUUUUUCAUAAAUUCAAUCAAAGCAAUUGACGAAUCACAUGAACAGGUUGACAAAUGAGAUACAUCCAAAAUACAUCAGUAAUCACAAAUAGAAGAUGUGAUAAACGACAAAGAAGAUUAUGGUAGCCAUGCCAUCAAAGGAGAUUGGUGCAAUCUAAUUUCUUCACAUGUCUUCAAGAAAAUCAGUGCAAUUCUGGUAACAAAAUCAGUGCCUCUACGGACCAGAGGCGUCUUCUAGCCUAACGAAGUCUUGGCGGCACCUGUGCCGGCGAAGAGCUCGUCGUCGCCGCCGUGGGAGGGCGCCUGGGCGGCCGCACCUGCGUUUGGGAAGAGCUCGUUGUCGCGGCCGUCGUCGGGUGACUCGGCGAGCUCGUCGUCACGGCGGUCGUCGGGUGCCUCGGUGGCUGUGCAGGGCAGCGACGGCGCACGUAAGCUUGACGCCAGAUUGAUUCCCUGGAUAUAUCUUUCCCUAAUUUUUAAUAAUAAAGCACGGAUUGACUCCGUGGGUUCACCGUCACAGUACGCUUCUUCUCGUAAAUUUACGCUUUUAGUUUGUAUUUAAAAUAUAUUCAAGGUGGUACUAAUAUUUUCAUGUGUUAGCGUUCGUUCGUACAUCGCCCAGGUGUCCACGAUAAAACUCUCUGGUUCGUCGGUGACAUGGGCCUGAAAUUUCAUAAUAACUACG